AGUGAACGCUGGCGGUAGGCCUAACACAUGCAAGUCGAACGGCAGCACAGUAAGAGCUUGCUCUUACGGGUGGCGCGUGGCGGACGGGUGAGGAUUACAUCGGAAUCUACUUUUUCGUGGGGGAUAACGUAGGGAAACUUACGCUAAUACCGCAUACGACCUACGGGUGAAAGCAGGGGAUCUUCGGACCUUGCGCGAUUGAAUGAGCCGAUGUCGGAUUAGCUAGUUGGCGGGGUAAAGGCACACCAAGGCGACGAUCCGUAGCUGGUCUGAGAGGAUGAUCAGCCACACUGGAACUGAGACACGGUCCAGACUCCUACGGGAGGCAGCAGUGGGGAAUAUUGGACAAGGGGCGCAAGCCUGAUCCAGCCAUACCGCGUGGGUGAAGAAGGCCUUCGGGUUGUAGAGCCCUUUUGUUGGGAAAGAAAAGCAGCAGGUUAAUACGCCGCUGUUCUGACGGUACCCAAAGAAUAAGCACCGGCUAACUUCGUG
rnacentral:rRNA from 1 species